CCUUCGGGUGCGAGUAGAGUGGCGGACGGGUGAGUAACGCGUGGGAAUCUGCCUAGUAGUGGGGGAUAACAAUCGGAAACGGUUGCUAAUACCGCAUACGCCCUCCGGGGGAAAGGCUUCGGCCGCUCAUGGAUGAUCCCGCGUCUGAUUAGCUUGUUGGUGAGGUAACGGCUCACCAAGGCGACGAUCAGUAGCUGGUCUGAGAGGAUGAUCCGCCACACUGGUACUGAGACACGGACCAGACUCC
rnacentral:rRNA from 1 species